ACUCUGCGGGAGAGACGGUAACCGACUAGCACCGUCGCCGAAGGAGCAACAGCCCCGGAAACUCUCAGGCAACCGAACCGCAGGGGG
rnacentral:ncRNA from 1 species